rnacentral:lncRNA from 1 species
AUGGAGCGGGGGGGGCGAGCGGGGGCUGCAGGGUCCAGCUCCCGGGAGAUAGGGGUCAUUCCACCUGUCGCCGGGCACGCGCCGGCCGCACGGGGGCGCCAGCGGACAGGCCCCCGCAGAACGCGCCCGGCCGGGCGAGCGGCGGUCAGUCCCGGGAGGUGGCGCUCGCGAGGCGGGGAAGGGCGGCGAGGGGCUGUGUGGUCCGUGGAAAAUCCCCACGGCCCGCCCCGCGCGGGACCCGCUGUAACCUCGGCCCCGGCGGCCAGGCGGGGUGGGGUCUUCGCCAGGGCUCAAGAUCCUCCUGGGAUGCGCAGUGGGGCUUGGGGAGUGAAAAGCACUCUCGAGGGUGCGUGGGGCAGGAGCACCGGGGUCGUACAGGCGGGCGUGGAGGGGCGCGGGCGCCAUCAGAGCGGGGUCGCAUCCUUCCUACCAAGGCCGGACCUAACGUCGUGUUCCUCAGGCUGUGCAGUCACUGAGGGCAUGGGCACCCCUAACCCCUCCCCAACCCUCAGCCUCGCAUCCUUCCAUUAUCUGCUAGGGGCUGGAGAGGGGGUGAAUGCGGCACCCAGGUCCUUCUGUCCCACCUGCGCCCCCUGCCUAUUCCUCCGGCUGGCUGGAUCUCUGGCAGUCCCAGCAGCAACACGGAGCAGACGGGGCGAGUUGAGCUGGGAUGGGGGUGGAGGUACGGACGCCAGGCGUCUCUCCGCCCCCCUGUGUCACCUCCUCUUGCUGGAGUCAGGGCCACUCGCGGACUGCCAUCUCCCCGCCCAGGGAACGAAGAACGCGAGCACAGGGACUGGGUACCGGUGGCCGACGGGUCAGUGCCCGGGGCUGGCCCAGGACCAACGCUGCCCCAACCCCCGCGCAGCUAGUUGCCUAGCAGGGCCCUACCCGGAGCCAGCGCCUCCGAGGCCCGACGGGAGCCCUUUCCCCUGUGGGCGACCACCGCUGCGGCCAGCAGGGACGGUCCAAUGCAGGCUCCAUCCUGGGAACAGCUGUCAAGCCGCUGCUUGGGAGGGACGAGGAGGUGUGAGUAGGAGCCGAGAUUCUUACCUGUCCAGGUGUCUGCCUGGCCUGGAAGCCACCGAGACCAAAUGUGGGGCAGCUCCAUGCAUGGUGGUCCAUGCGUGGGGGUCCCUGACGAUCUCACAUGCACUCACCGGAGCUCUGUCCCAGGCUUGUCUGCUGGGGUGGAAAGCCUGAAUGAUAAUACGGAUAAUCGCCCAGAGAAUCUAUGCUGGAAAGUAGAUUUAAAACUUACUAAAUUUAAAUUGCAAUUUUACUACAAUUAUAUGUGUCUAUAUAUCUUUAUGUAUAUUUUAAAUGCAUUCAGCUGUAGUCUAAGCACAGAGUGAGGCAGGGCUGAUCCUCCCCAGGUCCAGCUCAGAGGAGCCUCAGAAGCC